rnacentral:rRNA from 1 species
GAUGAACGCUAGCGGGAGGCCUAACACAUGCAAGCCGAGCGGUAUUGUUUCUUCGGAAAUGAGAGAGCGGCGUACGGGUGCGUAACACGUGUGCAACCUGCCUUUAUCUGGGGGAUAGCCUUUCGAAAGGAAGAUUAAUACUCCAUAAUAUAUUGAACGGCAUCGUUUAAUAUUGAAAGCUCCGGCGGAUAGAGAUGGGCACGCGCAAGAUUAGCUAGUUGGUGAGGUAACGGCUCACCAAGGCGAUGAUCUUUAGGGGGCCUGAGAGGGUGAUCCCCCACACUGGUACUGAGACACGGACCAGACUCCUACGGGAGGCAGCAGUGAGGAAGAUUGGUCAAUGGGUGCAAGCCUGAACCAGCCAUCCCGCGUGAAGGACGACUGCCCUAUGGGUGGUAAACUUCUUUUGUAUAGGGAUAAACCUACCCUCGAGAGGGUAGCUGAAGGUACUAUACGAAUAAGCACCGGCUAACUCCGUG